CGCUUUUUAUUUUUAUCUAGUUUUAAAAAGGUAGGCCCUAUACUAGGUAACACAAAAGUUAGAAAGUCAUAGUUUGUGGCUUCAAGAAGCCUAUCAUCUAGUUUAAGUAAGUGUACAAAACAAACAAAAAUGAAGAGGCAUAAGGAGUAGCAAUCCAAGCACUAUAAAGCAAGCAGAAGAAUGGAGAAGUGAACAAGGUUUCUCGGAAGAUACUAUCAGAACUAGAUAAAACUAAAGUAAAAUUCCAACAGACAGAAGAAAAUGAGCCUCUCCAGAAAGGGCAGGCUGGGGGAGCGCCAAGGCAGGCAAAGGGUGGACGGAGCCCUGCUGGGCCCAGGAAGGAAGUGGUCAGUGAUGAGGAUGGCACUGUAGGUUGUCACUACCUGUGGAGGGCUUUUGAUAAAAGGGAGACGUAACAAUACCCAAUUUUAAUUUUAUAGGCCUAAAAUCAUCACUGAAGACUUCUGAAUGGUAAGGAGAUGACGGGAUUGCACCUCACGUCCGGAAGCUGAAUCUGGAAGCCAGAAGGUUACGGGCUGCAGCCAGAGAAGGAUGCAGUCAGGCUGUGUUUCCUGUAUAACUCACACCAUUUUGAGUGCUGUCUUCCAUUCUAAGACUUUGUUCUUACAUGCUUCCCUGAUGGAUGCACAAGAGACACUACAGCCAACAGGU